UACGUAGGGGGCAAGCGUUGUCCGGAAUUAUUGGGCGUAAAGAGCGUGUAGGCGGUCCGGUAAGUCAGCUGUGAAAGUCAAGGGCUCAACCCUUGAAAGCCGGUUGAUACUGUCGGGCUAGAGUCCGGAAGAGGCGAGUGGAAUUCCCGGUGUAGCGGUGAAAUGCGCAGAUAUCAGGAGGAACACCAAUUGCGAAGGCAGCUCGCUGGGACGUUACUGACGCUGAGACGCGAAAGCGUGGGGAGCAAACAGG
rnacentral:rRNA from 1 species